rnacentral:rRNA from 1 species
AACCUUUACACUGUACGCAAGUGCGAUAAGGGGACUCCGAGUGUGAAGGCAUAGAGCCUUCACUUUUGUACACCGUAAGGUGGUGUACGAAUAAGGGCUGGGCAAGACCGGUGCCAGCCGCCGCGGUAAUACCGGCAGUUCGAGUGAUGGCCGAUUUUAUUGGGCCUAAAGCGUUCGUAGCUGGCCGAUCAAGUCUGUCGGGAAAUCUGCUCGCCUAACGAGCAGGCGUCCGGCGGAAACUGAUCGGCUUGGGACCGGAAGACUCGAGGGGUACGUCCGGGGUAGGAGUGAAAUCCUGUAAUCCUGGACGGACCACCGAUGGCGAAAGCACCUCGAGAGCACGGAUCCGACAGUGAGGAACGAAAGCUGGGGUCUCGAACCGGAUUAGAUACCCGGGUAGUCCCAGCUGUCAACGAUGCCCGCUAGGUAUGGCGCAGGCUACGAGCCUGUGCUAUGCCGUAGCGAAGGCGCUAAGCGGGCCGCCUGGGAAGUACGUUCGCAAGAAUGAAACUUAA